rnacentral:rRNA from 1 species
UAAGGAAUAUUGGUCAAUGGACGCAAGUCUGAACCAGCCAUGCCGCGUGAAGGAUGAAGGUCCUCUGGAUUGUAAACUUCUUUUAUAGGGGGCGAAAAAAGGGAAAUCUUUCUCACUUGACAGUACCCUAUGAAUAAGCACCGGCUAACUCCGUGCCAGCAGCCGCGGUAAUACGGAGGGUGCAAGCGUUAUCCGGAUUCACUGGGUUUAAAGGGUGCGUAGGCGGGCGUAUAAGUCAGUGGUGAAAUCCUGGAGCUUAACUCCAGAACUGCCAUUGAUACUAUAUGUCUUGAAUAUGGUGGAGGUAAGCGGAAUAUGUCAUGUAGCGGUGAAAUGCAUAGAUAUGACAUAGAACACCUAUUGCGAAGGCAGCUUACUACGCCUAUAUUGACGCUGAGGCACGAAAGCGUGGGGAUCAAACAGGAUUAGAUACCCUGGUAGUCCACGCCCUAAACGAUGAUUACUCGACGUGUGCGAUAAACGGUACGCGUCUGAGCGAAAGCAUUAAGUAAUCCACCUGGGAAGUACGACCGCAAGGUUGAAACUUAAAGGAAUUGACGGGGUCAUA